rnacentral:tRNA from 1 species
GCAGUGGUGGUCAAUGGUAGGAUUCUUGCCUUCCAUGCGGGGAGACCUGGGUUCAAAUCCCGGCCAAUGCA